CGAUUCAAAUUUGAUUUUCUUUUGAUGCUUCUUCAACUUCUCAUAAACCCUAAUUCUAUUAUCGAUACGCGUGCUUUUUUUUAUUGUUUAGGGAAAAAACACAUUGAAUCUGAUGUAAUGAAGGUUAGAGCUACCAUGGAUGCUCGAGCAUGGUUCUGAUAUUGUCACGCACCGAUGGUCGGCAAGUCAUGUCCUUGGAGGAAGCGCUCAUCAAGUACAAUGAGUAACUCGGUUGUAGAUAUUAGCACUUUUUCAACCAUGUAAGUUAAAUUCCUGUUCCGAUCCUUUUUAUAUAUUGAAGCAACAACACCAUAUAGUUGAAAGGAAAGACGAUUAUAUUCGUGUAAUCGUGUGGAGUAUCAAAGCUCAAUCUUGCGGGUAUGUGCAACUUACAUAUAAGGAAACUCAUCAUGAAAAAGAAAAAAAAACCAUUUUAUAUAUUUUAGCGAAUAUUAAGAGCCAUAUCUAAUUUCCUUCUUUUCUCUGUCUUGUUUUAACAGUUUGUGGAUGAUAAUGAGUUUUGGUUUCCACCUGAUAAGGGUUCUACUUUGGACUAUAGAUUUGCAUCUAGGAUGGGGAUUUAAGUCAAAUCAACGGUUCUAACACCAAAUCUUUUAAAGCAACAAGCUUUUCUUUUUCUUAACUAAGCACAAUCUUAGAAUAAAUUGAAGAAUGUGAAGUGCUUAUCUUGAUAGCCUGUAAUGCCAAUGAUAAUAGGCAUUUUAAAUUUGUACCUGCAAAAACAUGUGAUCUUUUUGUGGGAGAAUGGGUACUAGACCAAUUUGGACCAGUGUACACUAAUGAGAGUUGUCGUAUGGUCGAACCUCAUCAAAAUUGUAUGAGGAAUGGACGUCCUGAUUCGGGAUACUUGUAUUGGAGGUGGAGUCCAAGAAGUGAAUUGCCCAAGUUCAAUCCCAAGAAGCUUCUUAAGUUUAUGAGAAAUAAAUCAUUUUCAUUGGUGAUUCAAUCUCUCGUAAUCAUGUGUUGUCCCUACUCUGCAUUCUCUCAAAGGCUGCAAGAGAAACUGGUGCACUUAAAAAGACUAAGGAGAAACUUGAAAAAAAAAAAGUGGAGGAACUCACUUGGCGUCUUCGACUAGAGAAAAAUUUAAGGGUGAGAUAUACGCUUUGCACAUACACAAAUUUUGGAAGAUCAAUUUCAGCAUAGGACAUCCUUAAAGAAAAUUAUUUGGGAUCCUAUAGAGGAACCUAGAAGAAUCCAAUACACGGGAGAUGGAAAAGCUGCAGAAUUUACUGCAAGAGAUGCAAAAUAAAGUUGAUGAAACCAAUGCAUUUGUAGAAAUUAUAGAGUUUAUUGAUGUGUGUUUUCUAGAUUGAUGAGAAUGUUGCCAGGGAAAUCAUAAACCAUAGAAGUCUUCGCCAGCACAAUAUUAUUCGGUUCAAGGAGGGGGGUUAAACUUCCACACAUUUGGGUAUUGUUAUGGAGUAUGCAAGUGGUGGAGAGCUCUUUGAGAGGAUUUGUAGUGCUGGAAGAUUCAAUGAAGAUGAGGUUUGUUCGCUUUCUCUCUUUUCAUUUAUCCACCAAUUCUUUUUCCACUUCUAUACUCAUCAUAAGCAUGAAACUACUUAUUCUCCCUUCCCUUACUUCAUUGUUGGCAACUGAGUGUUUGGAAAUUCAAUUGUUUUAUUUUCAUUCUGGUUAUCUCUUAGUUUUCUAUGCUUGAUAUUGCUUCCAGCAGCUUAUUUCAGGAGUUAGCUAUUGUCAUUCCAAGGUGAAUAGAAUAAUUAUACUGUGAAUGAGUCGUUUCGGAUGGCAGUUAGUUUUUAGUUUCCUUUGUGGUUAUUUUCUUUCUAAUUUUUUUCUUCUGCAACAAAUAUGUCAUCAAGACUUGAAGCUUAAAAACACCUUAUUGGAUGACAAUUCUGUCCACAGCUCAAAA